CGGGACACGUGGUAUCCUGUCUGAAUAUGGGGGGACCAUCCUCCAAGGCUAAAUACUCCUGACUGACCGAUAGUGAACCAGUACCGUGAGGGAAAGGCGAAAAGAACCCCGGCGAGGGGAGUGAAAAAGAACCUGAAACCGUGUACGUACAAGCAGUGGGAGCACGCUUAGGCGUGUGACUGCGUACCUUUUGUAUAAUGGGUCAGCGACUUAUAUUCUGUAGCAAGGUUAACCGAAUAGGGGAGCCGAAGGGAAACCGAGUCUUAACUGGGCGUUAAGUUGCAGGGUAUAGACCCGAAACCCGGUGAUCUAGCCAUGGGCAGGUUGAAGGUUGGGUAACACUAACUGGAGGACCGAACCGACUAAUGUUGAAAAAUUAGCGGAUGACUUGUGGCUGGGGGUGAAAGGCCAAUCAAA
rnacentral:rRNA from 1 species